rnacentral:lncRNA from 1 species
GAGAGAAUCCUUUGGGACUCUGUUUCUAAAGGUCGAGAGAUAAGAAUGCCCUUUCCUUGGCUAGUGAAGCCUAAACCUUAACUACAGUUAACUAUGUUACAACUCACUCGUAUAGGCUAACUAACCUACAGUUGACUAUGUUACAACUCACUCGUAUAGGCUAACUAACCUAGCCAUUUGGAAUUAACAUUGCCUAAAACUGCAUUACACACAAUAAUUAAGUCAACGUUAUCAUUAGUAAAUCCAUCUAAAUCCUAUACACUAAAAU